rnacentral:lncRNA from 1 species
GUGAGCGCACACUUGGACAAGGGAGGGGAAGGGGUCCUCAUCCCUGACACACGUGGCCCCUGCUGCUGUGUUGUUCCCCUAUUGGGUGGGGUUAGACUGCACAGGAUAAACUAAUUCCAAUUGGCUAAUUUAAAGAGAAUGACAGGGUGGGUGCUUUGGCUGGAGUCGGAGCAGAGCAGGUAGCAGGUAAUCAGAAUGAGUCAGGGUGGAGAAUGAGCAGGUGAUCGGACUGAGUCAGGGUGUAGUAGGUAAUCGAAAAAGGUUGCUUUAUGAGGAAGUUAAGUUUAAAAGUAGAAGGCAAAGAAUUGAACAUACUGAUAUUAAUUCUUUGAAAAGAAAUUUAGAACUCAUAUCUAACAACAUGAAGUAGAAAAGGUGAGAUUCAAACCAAGUUUAUCUUGUCUUAAUGCUUGUGUUUGUCUCAGAUGCUGCAUCCUUUUCACAUCACACUACCUCUUGACACUAUAAAACAUUCUAGAAAUAUUGGACAUUAUUAUUUAAAUCCAAUUUGUACAAUAAGAUUAUUCUAUUAUAUUUUAAUUAAUUGAAAAAAUGUAUAAAUGGUAGAGAGGUCACUGUUUAACAGACCAUGAGAUUGUACCAUGCUGAUUUUGAAAGUGUAAAUGAAUAGUACGAUUAUUGAUUGUAUUAACUGAUUACUACUGCUGCACAGGCUACUGGGGCUUGUACACUUAGAAAGCCAUACUGACCCCAAUCAUCCCUUCCAACUUGGUUUUACCAUCCCUUUCCUCAUUGCCAGGGGAGAGCAAAGAAAAUAUAGGACGUGUCAACAUUUAUAGUCAUUUGUAUAGGAGAUCUGUGAAAAUGUCCUUUUUGAAAUAGAAGUCAUCGUUUGGAUAAGAUCAAAUUCAGACAAAUUGAAUUUUUAUUUGCUUUGACAUGGAUUGGAAUCAGUGAUGUGAUUUUUUUUCCCCCUCCUGUGCAGGCAGGGGAAAGAAAACCAUCUUGAUAAAUUUCCUUAACUUUCUUGAAGGUGCUCUUUGGAAAAAGCAACAGAGUGUUAUGACACAGAGCUCUGACUCUGAGGUUGAAAAUCUUAUACUUGGAAUCUAAUGCUACUAAUGGAUUUUGAUGAAGGAAAACAUUUAAUUACCACAUUGAAUAAUUUGUUCAUUCGUUUGACAAUUGCUCAUUAAGUGCCUACUACAUAAGAGACCCUAUUCUACGUGCUAUGAAUACUUCAGAAAGUAAAUAAAAAUUCCUGCUUUCAUAGAGUUUACAACUGAGGAGAAGGGAGAUAGACAAUAAAAUCUUAGCAUGUAAUGUCCUGGGGAUAAUAUGGUAUGCUAUGGAGAAAAAGAAAGCAUUGUCUGGGAAUAAGAAGUGUACAAAGGGGUGUGAUUUGAAAGGUGUUUUCAGGGAAGUUUUCUGACAUUCAGCAGAAACCUGAAAAAAAGUAAAGAACUGAGUCAAGUGACUAUGCAGGGGAAGAAUUCUUUAGGCAGCAGGCCAGCGUGGUGGCAGUGGAAUGGAAAAGAAUGGUAGCAGAAGGGUACAGGGAGGAACCAGAUUAUUCCAGGGCACAUGGGCCACUGUAAGGCCUUGGCUUCUGUCUGCAGUCAUACAGAAAGACAUUGGAGGCUUUUGAGCAGAAGGUAGGACUUAACGUCAAUAUUGAAAUGACCACCAGUGUUGGGUAGAGAAUAGAACGUGUGGGUGGGAGAAGGGAGGCAGAAGUAAGAGACCAACUGUGAAAAAUGUGUAAUAAUGUGAGAGUUGGUAGUGACUUGCCCAGAGUGGUAGCAGUGGAAAUGACAAGAAAUAAUUAAAGCUAGGCACAGUUUGAAGGUAGAGGCCUUAGGAUUUCCUGUGAUGUGCAAAAGAAAGAGAGGAUCACAGAGGACUCCAAGGUUUUUCUUCUGAGCAAGUGCAACAGUGAAGUUCCCAUUUACACAGAUGGAGAAAAAUAUAGAAGGAGGACAUUUUGUGGAAUUCCGAACUUUGAUUUUGAACAUAUCCUGUGUGAGAUGCCUGUAGACAUUUAAGUGGAAAUGUUAUGUAGGUAGUUGGAUAUGUAAGUAUGGAGGUUAGAGGAAAAGUCAAGGUUAGGGAUUAGAAUUUGAGAGCUCUGUAUACGGGAAGUUUCUGAGGGCUUGACACUUGAUUGAACUCAUUUAGGGCUUAAGUAUAGAUAAAGAAGAAAUUUAUAGUUGAUCCAUGGAACACUCCAAUAUUUAAAGGUUUAGGAAAUAAUAAGGAACCAGCAGGAGAUUGAAAAAGUCUCUGUUUAUAAAAUAAGGAGAAAUCACACACACACGCACACAUGCACACUCAACACACACACACGCACACACACACUCUCUCUCUCUCUUUCCCCUUUUUUCAG